CCACCUCCCAGGCUGCGAGGAGCAGAAGAGAAAGUAGCAGGCACUGGGCUCCAGGAUCUUCUCGCCAGGAGAACAACAUUGCAAGAUGAAACAAAGCAGUAUCUGAAUACGUAAUGCCCGCUGCGUUUCUUUUGUGGAGAAAGACCUUGUGGAGGACAGCGACAUCAUGUGGCUAAACGUUUCCAUUCAAGACAAAACUGCUAUUAAUAGGAUAUCUACAUUGAAUGUUAUGAUUUAUUUCAACGUUAGUGAACACCUUGAAGACAUUUUUUAAAGUGAUAUUUGAAAAGAUGACUAGACGAGUUAAAUAUGAAAAAUAUUCAAAGCCAAAACUCGAAAGUUGGACUUACAU